CAAUAGCGUAUAUUAAAGUUGUUGCGGUUAAAAGCUCGUAGUUGGAUUUCUGCUGAGGACGACCGGUCCGCCCUCCGGGUGAGCAUCUGGUUCGGCCUUGGCAUCUUCUUGGUGAACGUAUCUGCACUUGACUGUGUGGUGCGGUACCCCAAGGGACUUUUUUACUUGAGGAAAAUUAGAGUGUUUCAAGCAGGCAUAACGCCUUGAAUACAUUAGCAUGGAAUAAUAAGAUAGGACCUCGGUUCUAUUUUGUUGGUUUCUAGAGCUGAGGUAAUGAUUAAUAGGGAUAGUUGGGGGGCAUUCGUAUUUAACUGUCAGAGGUGAAAUUCUUGGAUUUGUUAAAGACGGACUACUGCGAAAAGCAUUUGCCAAAGGAUGUUUUCAUUGAUCAA
rnacentral:rRNA from 1 species